rnacentral:lncRNA from 1 species
UCUUCCAGAAGAAUGGUCUAGAUAAGUCCUAUUUGGAAAGGUUGAUGGAGAUGCCUAUGUACAAGGACAGUACAGGGCAUUACAACAGACAGGUUGUGACCAAGCUGCUCAACAACUACCGUUCUCAUGCUUCCAUUCUCAAAGAACCUAAUGAGAUGUUCUAUGACUCUGAACUCAAGGUUUGUGCAGAUCCAGUGUAUGUAACAGCUUUCUGUAAGUGGGAGUAUUU